AAGUUGCAUUGGGUGAACGAAGAAAGAAGAAAAAGUGAAGGAGCAGAUCCACAAAAUGGGCUGAAGAAAAAGAAGAAGAAAGGGCAUCUGGUCUGGGAAACGUGGCAGAAACGUUCUAAUGAUAGAGGCAGUGACAUGAGCACAACAAGCAGAAAAUGCAAUGCAAUGGCUCAAAACAGUAAUCAACUCGAAGAACAAGAAUACGUUGACAGAGAAUAGUGGUGGUGGGAUUAUGAGCACUAAAACUUUUGAAUCUUUGAUUCUCUGAACCAAUUUUCGGAUAUAGGAUUUCACCAUAUGAGUCAGGCUCCUACUUGCUUGGUCUAUAUAUAGGAUAAGGAUAGAGAAACUGAGAACCAUCAACUAUCAACUCUCGAAAUGAAAGCCAUUCUAGUGGUCUGCUUUCUCUUGCUUUCCACAUUUUUCAUUCCUUCUUCAAAUGCAGCUCGAGAACUAGCUGUUACAGUCGCACCAGUGAAGAAUGCAACCGCAAGCUGUGGUCGCGGAAAAUCAUAUGCUGCAUGUAAGCCACAGCCACCGCCAAAGCCAAAAGCGGAUCCACCUUGUAACGUCUACAAACGUCGAGGUUGCUCACAACCUUAACCCCUGACUUUCAGAUAAUAAGCACUUAGCUUAUUCUCAUGAGGAGCAAUGGCAAUAAAUAAAAUCCUAAGUGUGUCAUAUAGGUGGUUUGAAGUUUGCAAAGCCUCUAAUUCGCAGUGUUGUAAUUUGCACUUAAUAAGCUACGGCUUUUUUUUUCUUUUCUUUUUUUAUGGGGAAGGGAUAGUUAACCCGAUGAAUACUAUGUUGUUUGUUCUGAAGUGUGCAAAAUAAAAGAGCUGACUAAACUCAGUCCAAUGAUUA